rnacentral:sRNA from 1 species
UUAGUUAUCUUCUCUUUUUUUCU